rnacentral:rRNA from 1 species
UACGAAGGGGGCUAGCGUUGUUCGGAAUCACUGGGCGUAAAGCGCACGCAGGCGGAUCGUUAAGUCAGGGGUGAAAUGCCGAGGCUCAACCUCGGAACUGCCUUUGAUACUGGCGAUCUUAGAGUCCGGGGGAGGUGAGUGGAACUCCGAGUGUAGAGGUGAAAUUCGUAGAUAUUCGGAAGAACACCAGUGGCGAAGGCGGCUCACUGGCCCGGUACUGACGCUCAGGUGCGAAAGCGUGGGGAGCAAACAGG